GCUUGUUUAGUGAAAGACCCAAAGAAACGUCACUCUUCUAAAAAGCUAUUGAAGCACCCUUUCUUCAAGCAUGCAAAAACAGCUGAUUAUUUGGAACGUACUAUUCUUGAUGGACUUUCUCCCUUAGAUGAUCGUUUUAGGAUGCUAAAGGCCAAAGAAGCCGAUCUUAUUGUACAGAACAAGGAUUUAUAUGGAGAUAAGGAACAUUUAUCACAGCAAGAGUAUAUACGAGGAAUUAGCGUGUGGAACUUUAACUUGGAGGAUUUAAAGAAUCAGGCUGCGCUUUUAUGUGUUCAAAUAUAAG